rnacentral:rRNA from 1 species
GAGUUUGAUCUUGGCUCAGAGUGAACGCUGGCGGCAGGCCUAACACAUGCAAGUCGAGCGGCAGCACGGGUUAGCAAUACCUGGUGGCGAGCGGCGGACGGGUGAGGAAUACAUCGGAAUCUGCCUCGUCGUGGGGGAUAACGUAGGGAAACUUACGCUAAUACCGCAUACGACCGAGAGGUGAGAGCGGGGGAUCGCAAGACCUCGCGCGAUGAGAUGAGCCGAUGUCGGAUUAGCUAGUUGGCGGGGUAAAGGCCCACCAAGGCGACGAUCUGUAGCUGGUCUGAGAGGGAUGAUCAGCCACACUGGAACUGAGACACGGUCCAGACUCCUACGGGAGGCAGCAGUGGGAAUAUGGACAAUGGGCGCAAGCCUGAUCCAGCCAUGCCGCGU